rnacentral:rRNA from 1 species
AUUGAACGCUGGCGGCAUGCCUUACACAUGCAAGUCGAACGGCAGCAUGAUCUCGCUUGCUAGAUUGAUGGCGAGUGGCGCACGGGUGAGUAAUACAUCGGAACGUGCCCUGUAGUGGGGGAUAACUAGUCGAAAGAUUAGCUAAUACCGCAUACGACCUGAGGGUGAAAGUGGGGGACCGCAAGGCCUCCUGCUAUAGGAGCGGCCGAUGUCUGAUUAGCUAGUUGGUGAGGUAAAGGCUCACCAAGGCGACGAUCAGUAGCUGGUCUGAGAGGACGAUCAGCCACACUGGGACUGAGACACGGCCCAGACUCCUACGGGAGGCAGCAGUGGGGAAUUUUGGACAAAGGGCGAAAGCCUGAUCCAGCAAUGCCGCGUGUGUGAAGAAGGCCUUCGGGUUGUAAAGCACUUUUGUCCGGAAAGAAAUGGCUCUGGUUAAUACCUGGGGUCGAUGACGGUACCGGAAGAAUAAGGACCGGCUAACUACGUG